GUGCUCACUUCAGCAGCACAUACAAUAAAAUUUAAACACAUAGAAGAUUAGCACAGCCCCUGUGCAAGGAUGACAUGAAAAUUGUGAAGCCUACCAUUUUUCA